rnacentral:rRNA from 1 species
UACGUAGGGGGCAAGCGUUGUCCGGAUUUAUUGGGCGUAAAGAGCGUGUAGGCGGUCAGGUAGGUCCGUUGUGAAAACUCGAGGCUCAACCUCGAGACGCCGAUGGAAACCAUCUGACUAGAGUCCGGAAGAGGAGAGUGGAAUUCCUGGUGUAGCGGUGAAAUGCGCAGAUAUCAGGAGGAACACCCGUGGCGAAGGCGGCUCUCUGGAACGGUACUGACGCUGAGACGCGAAAGCGUGGGGAGCGAACAGG